UCUCCAGGGUAGUAUAGUGGUUAGUAUUCCUGCCUGUCACGCAGGUGACCUGGGUUCGAUUCCCCGCCGGGGAG
rnacentral:tRNA from 1 species